rnacentral:rRNA from 1 species
AGUGAACGCUGGCGGUAGGCCUAACACAUGCAAGUCGAACGGCAGCACAGUAAGAGCUUGCUCUUACGGGUGGCGAGUGGCGGACGGGUGAGGAAUACAUCGGAAUCUACUUUUUCGUGGGGGAUAACGUAGGGAAACUUACGCUAAUACCGCAUACGACCUACGGGUGAAAGCAGGGGAUCUUCGGACCUUGCGCGAUUGAAUGAGCCGAUGUCGGAUUAGCUAGUUGGCGGGGUAAAGGCCCACCAAGGCGACGAUCCGUAGCUGGUCUGAGAGGAUGAUCAGCCACACUGGAACUGAGACACGGUCCAGACUCCUACGGGAGGCAGCAGUGGGGAAUAUUGGACAAUGGGCGCAAGCCUGAUCCAGCCAUACCGCGUGGGUGAAGAAGGCCUUCGGGUUGUAAAGCCCUCUUGUUGGGAAAGAAAAGCAGCAGGUUAAUACCCCGCUGUUCUGACGGUACCCAAAGAAUAAGCACCGGCUAACUUCAUG